rnacentral:misc_RNA from 1 species
UUUCCGUAGGUGAACCUGCGGAAGGAUCAUUAAAGAGUAAGGGUCUUCGGGCCCGAUCUCCAACCCUUUGUUUAACUACCAUGUUGCUUUGGCGGGCCCGUCUCACGACCGCCGGAAGUUUGGCUUCGACCAAACUUCUGGCCCGUGCCCGUCAGUGGCCCCUUCAAAUUCUUGAUCAAGUUUGAUGUCUUAGUUAAAAACUUAAUAGUUAAAACUUUCAACAACGGAUCUCUUGGUUCUG